AAUAUAUUGUAUUGUUAAAAAUGUUGUGCAGAACUACCUUCAAUUCUUAUAUGUAUGUAUAAAUAUGGUUGUUAUUGCUAUUUCUUGUAGUGGGAGGAGUAACAUACAUAUGUAAAUAUGUCCUUUUUACUAUAUACAUGUAUAUAUAUUUAUAUACAUAUAUACGGUGUGUUCAAAGAAAAAGUAAUCAACCUCGGUUAUAAUACACUUGUGCCAACACUUUUUCCAAUCCUCGAAGUACUUCUGAAAUGCGCCUUUCGGUAUGGUCAUCAGCUCUCAAGAACAAUUUUUUCACUGUUUCGAUAGUUUCUUCGCUUGUUGGCGUGGUCGCAUUUCCAGGAUGCUCAUCGUCCUCAACAUCUUCUCGGCAUUCUGUAAAGCGCGUGUACCACUUAUUAACACUUUUUUGAGAUAAAGUGGACGCACCGAAUGCCAUAGUCAACAUUUCAAGUGUCUUGGAGCACAUUAUUAUAUUUUUAACGCAAAAUUUAGUAUAUAUUUUUUGAUCCAUUUCUUUUAAAAGUCAAAAAUCGAAGAGCACACAUAAACGUGAUAAGAUUUCUGUUGUCCAAAACAAACUACUAAUUGAAAUUGACUUCACGAAUAACGUAUUUGAUUCUUGUUAAUACGUAGUUUAAUUUUGUUUGAAUAAAAAAACUACGGAAAAGUACAGUA